rnacentral:rRNA from 1 species
CAAUAGCGUAUAUUAAUGUUGUUGCAGUUAAAAAGCUCGUAGUUGGAUUUCGGGUGGGAAUGGCCGGUCCGCCGUUUCGGUGUGCACUUGCUACGCCCACCUUGCUGCCGGGGACGUGCUCUUGAGUUCACGCUCGGGACACGGAGUCGGCGAGGUUACUUUGAGUAAAUUAGAGUGUUCAAAGCAGGCCUACGCUCUGAAUACAUUAGCAUGGAAUAACACGAUAGGACUCUGGCCUAUCUUGUUGGUCUGUAGGACCGGAGUAAUGAUUAAGAGGGACAGUCGGGGGCAUUCGUAUUUCAUUGUCAGAGGCGAAAUUCUUGGAUUUAUGAAAGACGAACUACUGCGAAAGCAUUUGCCAAGGAUGUUUUCAUUAA